rnacentral:piRNA from 1 species
UAGAUAAGUACACCUGCCUAAAGUUUCCACU